UACGUAGGGCGCAAGCGUUUGUCCGGAAUUAUUGGGCGUAAAGAGCUCGUAGGCGGUUUGUCGCGUCUGCUGUGAAAUCCCGAGGCUCAACCUCGGGCCUGCAGUGGGUACGGGCAGACUAGAGUGUGGUAGGGGGAGACUGGAAUUCCUGGUGUAGCGGUGGAAUGCGCAGAUAUCAGGAGGAACACCAAUGGCGAAGGCAGGUCUCUGGGCCACAACUGACGCUGGAGGAGCGAAAGCGUGGGGAGCGAACAGG
rnacentral:rRNA from 1 species